UAGCAAACAACAGAGCUCUCUCUAUCUAAAUGUAAAGACUUAAAAAUUAAUACUUCCAAUAAGUUUUCAAUUAUUUAAACAGUCUUUAAAGUAUACGGUGUAGAAUAAACUAAUAUUUAAACAAUAAUAUUUAAACAAUAGUACAUUUUUAUUAAACAUGAAAAAGAUCGUAACACGCGAGAAACUUAAAAUAAUUUUAGUAUAAAAUUUCAAUACUUUAAAAUUUUAAUCUCGAGGUAGUUGAUCUUGUAUAAUAUAAACAUAAAUACGCUUUUUUUUAACUUUAACGAUUACCGACUUAGUUUUCUCUCGUACUGCAACCAGUGCAUACCGAAGCUCUCUGUUUCUAAACGUGAAAACUUAUAAAUUAAUACUUUCGAUAAAUUUUCAAUUAUUUAAACAAUCUUUAAUGUAUGCAGAGUAUAAUAAAAUAAUAUUUAAACAAUAAUACAUUCGCUUAAUCAUUAAAAAGACUAUAACGCGCGUUAGAAUUAGAAUAAGUUUUAUUUUAAAUUUCAAUCCUUAACAAAAUUUUUAUCUUGGGGUGAUUGGCUACAUGUGACGUCAAUAAAAUCGAACCUCAGAUCGAUUUUGACUGUUACUGGAUCAUUCUUCCUUUGGAUUUCGGCAAAUAAUCAUUGAAGCUCUCUCAAAAUUCCUGCAAGUAGUUAUGGAGACUAAAAAUCUUCAUUAUAAUCGCGCGUGUAACAAUAAAGUAAUCGAAUGUUUGCAUCGUUAAAAUAAAAAUAUCGCAUAGUAAUAGCAGUAUUUGUACAUUUGUGUUUCGCGAAUUAAACAACAAGUGUUUUUGCAUCGACUGCGUGCAACGCAGUCGUUAGAGUCAGUGUUUUGUUCGCAAAGUUUAUUACUUUUUUAACAAUCACACAGACUGUAUUUAUAAAAGAUAGUAGAGUUCUGCGAAUUAAAUUCAGUGACCGUUCGUUAAAAAAUCACUACUGUGUAAUAGAAUCAGUGCAUCAUUGAAGAGGAUCUCGACUAACUUCGAUAUCGAUUUAUCUUAUUUUCAACCACCUACGAAUCAUCCAUCCUCAAUUUCAAUUUAAAUUGCGGACGAAUGUUUUGGAGCCAUCGCAGAACUUCUUAAGUACUAGUUCCAGGUCGAAGGAUCGCGAACUCGGGAAGGAAUAAAUAGCGUUCUCCGCUUGCGUUUGUAGUUCAUAUUUUGACCAUACCUGUCGCUGAAGUCAACCACCUUUCGAA